UCAAAGCAUCUACAUAGCUGACACUUCCCCA
rnacentral:piRNA from 1 species